rnacentral:lncRNA from 1 species
GAUAAACCAUAAAUCUGUUUGAUAUAUUUUAUGGUUUUUAAAUCUGUUUGUAAGAAUAUUGUUUUCUAAUGGUCAAUGCUGAUAAAUUAUCCUUAGAAAAUAUCGAUAUUAUCUCUAAAUUAAAUUAACUAUGACUAAGUUUUUAAUAAAUUUAUGACAGGCUUUAACUUAGAAGGCAAUUGCUCUUUUCAAACCAUCAACUGCCAAGAUGGAAGAUUGCGCUGGAUUUAUUCCAAAAAUUUGUUGUUAAAGUCUAACUAGCGAACAAUGAACUAUUCUAGGCUCAAAAGCAUUAAUUCUUUUUCCCCCAAAAAUUUUCAAACAUUUUUCAUAUUAUUUUAGAACUUAUACCCAACUUCAUAAACCUAUACACUGAAACGUAUAUUCUAGAGUUCUGCCAACUCAAAAUGUUUUAAGAUUUGCUAACAGAUGGAACUAUUCCGUGUUAAAUGUUGAAGAACUUUAAAAAUAUGCAAAAUUGUGUAUACUUCCAUAAUGACUUUUCCGUAAAACUGACGUCAAACUUUGCAUUCCAUUAUAUUGAGCACGGUAUAAGAAUUCGUAACACACGUCAACAUUAUAUUGCCAGUUGGCAGAACGUUGCGACAAUAUGGAGUCGAACUAAGGUCAUUAGCGGUUGUAAAUUUAUCUAAGAUUUAACAUUAAAAUAAAAAAAAUAUACACUUAUCUCACUUGUCACACAUGUUUAUAGUUAUAUGUGCAUGGAAUAUUAUUUUAGUCCCACUUAGACUUGAUAUAAGUUCAAAAGUUAAGAAUAUACACACAAAUUUAUAUAUUUUUUUUUAAUUACGUGAUUUAUAUCCAUUUAAAACUCGUUCAUAUAUAAAAAAAUUACUGCAGAUUAGUUAC